UACGAAGGGGGCUAGCGUUGCUCGGAAUUACUGGGCGUAAAGCGAGUGUAGGUGGUCGUCCAAGUUGGAUGUGAAAGCCUUGAGCUCAACUCAAGAAAUGCAUUCAGGACUGGGCGACUAGAGGACCGGAGAGGAUAGUGGAAUUCCCAGUGUAGUGGUGAAAUACGUAGAGAUUGGGAAGGAACACCAGUGGCGAAGGCGGCUACU
rnacentral:rRNA from 1 species